rnacentral:rRNA from 1 species
UAAAUAGCCCGGCUCUCCCAAUCGCGGGAGGUCGCAGGCUUCUUAGAGGGACGAUCGGCUUCUAGCCGGUGGAGGUAUGAGGUAAUAACAGGUCUGUGAUGCCCUUAGAUGUUCUGGGCCGCACGCGCGCUACACUGACAGGGCCAGCGAGUCGAUUUCAUUGCCCUUGGCCGAAAGGUCUG